rnacentral:rRNA from 1 species
CCUACGGGAGGCAGCAGUGGGGAAUAUUGCACAAUGGGGGAAACCCUGAUGCAGCAACGCCGCGUGAGUGAUGAAGGCCUUCGGGUUGUAAAGCUCUGUCUAUUGGGACGAUAAUGACGGUACCAAAGGAGGAAGCCACGGCUAACUACGUGCCAGCAGCCGCGGUAAU